CAGAUUAUAGCUUAUAAUAAAGCUUUUUACUUACACUAAAAUGAAGAUUAGAAUAAUUUUAUCUGA
rnacentral:tRNA from 1 species